GACGAACGCUGGCGGCGUGCUUAACACAUGCAAGUCGAACGGAAAGGCCCUGCUUUUGUGGGGUGCUCGAGUGGCGAACGGGUGAGUAACACGUGAGUAACCUGCCCUUGACUUUGGGAUAACUUCAGGGAACUGGGGCUAAUACCGGAUAGGAGCUCCUGCUGCAUGGUGGGGGUUGGAAAGUUUCGGCGGUUGGGGAUGGACUCGCGGCUUAUCAGCUUGUUGGUGGGGUAGUGGCUUACCAAGGCUUUGACGGGUAGCCGGCCUGAGAGGGUGACCGGCCACAUUGGGACUGAGAUACGGCCCAGACUCCUACGGGAGGCAGCAGUGGGGAAUAUUGCUCAAUGGGCGGAAGCCUGAUGCAGCAACGCCGCGUGCGGGAUGACGGCCUUCGGGUUGUAAACCGCUUUCGCCUGUGACGAAGCGUGAGUGACGGUAAUGGGUAAAGAAGCACCGGCUAACUACGUG
rnacentral:rRNA from 1 species